rnacentral:rRNA from 1 species
ACGAACGCUGGCGGCGUGCCUAAUACAUGCAAGUCGAACGGUCUUUCUAUGGAAGCUUGCUUCCACUGAGAAGAUAGUGGCGAACGGGUGAGUAACACGUGGGUAACCUGCCCAUAAGAGGGGGAUAACAUCCGGAAACGGGUGCUAAUACCGCAUAGUUUUCUUGAUCGCAUGAUUGAGAAAGGAAAGACGGCCUUUGUGCUGUCGCUUAUGGAUGGACCCGCGGCGUAUUAGUUAGUUGGUGAGGUAAUGGCUCACCAAGACGAUGAUACGUAGCCGACCUGAGAGGGUGAUCGGCCACAUUGGGACUGAGACACGGCCCAAACUCCUACGGGAGGCAGCAGUAGGGAAUCUUCCGCAAUGGACGAAAGUCUGACGGAGCAACGCCGCGUGAGUGAAGAAGGGGUUUUCGGAUCGUAAAACUCUGUUGUCAGAGAAGAACAAGUUGGAGAGUAACUGCUCCAGCCUUGACGGUAUCUGACCAGAAAGCCACGGCUAACUACGUGCCAGCCGCAGC